CGACAAUGAAGGAUCAAAAUCAAAAACCAAAACAAUAAUAACGGUUUCUACUUUCUACGCUUAUUUAAACAAAUUUUCGUGGCGACCGACUUCUGCUUGUAUGAAGCAACUGACUUGUGUUAUUACUAAUCCAAUAUUCCAAAUUUCCAAACUACGUUCCAAGGCCCUGCAUUAUUCUAUCGCCCUUUCUUUCACAUUCAACACUUGUCUUGUUUGCUUGCAUCUGGUGCUGUAUUGAAGGUUUUUUUUUUGAAUGGAUAUUAAAUUUAUUCGAAUAACAAUAUAUUUUUGCAAUCAAUGCGUCAUGUUUGACUUUAACACAUGCUAUAUAAGAAUUUUGAAACCAAACAUUUAGUAGCAAAUCAACCCCCCAUAGCUUUAUCAUAUUUACCCGUCUCACUUUGUUUAAGAGAGUCAAUGCGGUUGGGGAUUAUCUUAUCAAUGUAGUUUAGUACCCGUUUAGGGUCCUGAGCUACUUCCCCCAUGACAGUCUAUUGUUUCAAUCUCUCCAUAUGGUGUGGAUUGCAGCUUGGAAAGCGUACUUAAAAAUAAACAAAGUUGUUUAUCGAAGAUUUCACUAACGUCAAAAGCAACUUUCCGAUAAAAAAAUUGUUGGAACUAGAUUUUUUGAUAAAAUGCACAGUUUUUCCGGAAGCUGUUUGGGCAAAACUGGUGGUCUUCAUAGCCAGAUUUAAAACUCUUUGUGCAAAAGAUCUAUUGAAAGAAGAGUUACGGUGAGGGUGAAGAUGAUAUAACAUACCAAUGAAAUACUAUUGGUUAGUUGGUUUAAGCGCAGGCGUUGGUGUUGCUGUGCUCCUCGUUCAAAACCCGGUGGGAGGAGUGAUUUAUGCCAUUAGUGGUAUCAUCAAAGGCGGCUCUCGAUCAUGAGGAAAACUCGGGCGCAAAACCCAAACUCCUCAUAGUUAACAA
rnacentral:lncRNA from 1 species